rnacentral:rRNA from 1 species
ACACAUGCAGUCGAGCGGUAGAGAGGUGCUUGCACCUCUUGAGAGCGGCGGACGGGUGAGUAAUACCUAGGAAUCUGCCUGGUAGUGGGGGAUAACGUUCGGAAACGGACGCUAAUACCGCAUACGUCCUACGGGAGAAAGCAGGGGACCUUCGGGCCUUGCGCUAUCAGAUGAGCCUAGGUCGGAUUAGCUAGUUGGUGAGGUAAUGGCUCACCAAGGCUACGAUCCGUAACUGGUCUGAGAGGAUGAUCAGUCACACUGGAACUGAGACACGGUCCAGACUCCUACGGGAGGCAGCAGUGGGGAAUAUUGGACAAUGGGCGAAAGCCUGAUCCAGCCAUGCCGCGUGUGUGAAGAAGGUCUUCGGAUUGUAAAGCACUUUAAGUUGGGAGGAAGGGCAUUAACCUAAUACGUUAGUGCUUUGACGUUACCGACAGAAUAAGCACCGGCUAACUCUGUGCCAGCAGCCGCGGUAAUACAGAGGGUGCAAGCGUUAAUCGGAAUUACUGGGCGUAAAGCGCGCGUAGGUGGUUUGUUAAGUUGAAUGUGAAAUCCCCGGGCUCAACCUGGGAACUGCAUCCAAAACUGGCAAGCUAGAGUAUGGUAGAGGGUGGUGGAAUUUCCUGUGUAGCGGUGAAAUGCGUAGAUAUAGGAAGGAACACCAGUGGCGAACGCGACCACCUGGACUGAUACUGACACUGAUGUGCGAAAGCGUGGGGAGCAAACAGGA